rnacentral:rRNA from 1 species
AACGAACGCUGGCGGCAGGCCUAACACAUGCAAGUCGAGCGGACCCUUCGGGGUUAGCGGCGGACGGGUGAGUAACGCGUGGGAAUAUGCCCUUCUCUACGGAAUAGUCCUGGGAAACUGGGGGUAAUACCGUAUACGCCCUUUGGGGAAAAGAUUUAUCGGGGAAGGAUUAGCCCGCGUUGGAUUAGGUAGUUGGUGGGGUAAUGGCCUACCAAGCCGACGAUCCAUAGCUGGUUUGAGAGGAUGAUCAGCCACACUGGGACUGAGACACGGCCCAGACUCCUACGGGAGGCAGCAGUGGGGAAUCUUAGACAAUGGGGGCAACCCUGAUCUAGCCAUGCCGCGUGAGUGAUGAAGGCCUUAGGGUUGUAAAGCUCUUUCAGCUGGGAAGAUAAUGACGGUACCAGCAGAAGAAGCCCCGGCUAACUCCGUG